CGCAACAAAGUACUUCAGAUGGAGGGACUUACACAACAGUUUUUUAAUUUUUUUUUUUUUUAGAGAUAGGAUCUCGCUCUGUCACCUAGGCUGGAGUACAGUGCUGCAAUCAUAGCCCACUGCAGCCUUGACCUCCUGGGCUCAAGCGGUCUUCCCCUUCAGCCUUCCAACUAACUGGGACCACAGAGCCUGAACCGAAGUUUUCUACCCAAAAGAAACACUGGCCCCACCGUGACGUAUCCUAACAUCCAAAUACCAGGAGGUGAGAUCCCUGGUAGCCAAGCCGAGAAUGAAGACAGCCGUUUAGACAUCUUGCUUCUGCUUCCAGUGAAUGAAUGAAGCCAAUGUUGCCCUUGGUUUAUCUACAUAAUGGCCUCGGCCCUUCAUCUGACUUCGUUUGGGACUUGUUGCAUGUCCGGGUCUGGGCAACAGACCCACAGGGCAAGGGCGCCGCACCAGCCUCGGGUUAGGGAUGCAAGCUGUUGCAUCUCAGGUGGCUUCUUCGGCACCUAACUUGUAAAAUGGACAUUUUUCUCCAGCGUCCUAGAGCUGCUGUCUAAAGCAACUGCUUACGAUGGGAACAGCAGACACUGGGGAUUCCAAAAGCAGAGGAGAAGGCACGGGAAUCAAGGGUACUUAGUUCACUUCUUGGGGGACAGGAUGAUUAGAAGUCCAAGCUUCAGCAUCAUGCAAUAUACCCACGUAACAAACCUGCACAUCUCCCCUCCAAAUCUAACAUUUUAAAAAUAUUAAUAUAUAAAUAAUACAUAAAAUAGGCCGGGCGCAGUGGCUCUUGCCUGUAAUCUCAGCACUUUGGGAGGCCGACGCGGGCGGAUCACCUGAGGUCAGGAGUUCAAGACCAGCCUGACCAACAUAGUAAAACCCCAUCUCUACUAAAAAUUUUUAAAAAUUAGCCAGGCGUGGUGGCAGGCGCCUGCAGUCCCAGCUACGCAGGAGGCUGGGGCAGGAAGAAUUGCUUGAACCCGGGAGGUGGAAGUUGCAGUGAGCCGAGAUCGUGCCACUGCACUCAAUCCUGGGAAACAGAGUGAGAUUCCAUCUCAAAAAAAUUAAUAAUAAUAAUAAUAAUAAAUAAAAUAAAUAAAAAUAAAAAUGUACAUCAAGAAAAAAAUAAAUAAAUCAAGUGAUUGUUACCGGAUUAAAGGAUUGUGUUCUGUGUUUUUAAUCUGAGUGUAAACUGCUCCAGUCCUUUCUUUGGGAAAUUCUGUCCAAAUUUCCCUGUGCAAGUCACAUGGCAAAUUCACUGUGUCAAUGGGAGACCCUCAGGAAGCCUGGGCCCAGCCGGGUGAAUGGCCAUCACCAGAGAUCAACCCAGGGCAUCCAGGCCAUGGGGAGGAAGUGGGAGGCUAAAGGGAUUGCAUAGAGGGUCUUCGAGAAGAAGGAAGAGGAGGCGGCUUUCAGGAGAGAGAAGGAAAUUGUCUUCUUAUCAGUUAGCCGUAGCUGCCAUAUCCGGCAUCCUAGAACAUUCUCCCUAAUGCUACUUAGAGCUUCUGACAACUCCCAGGGCACUGUUUGCCUUCUCACUCUUUCCAGGUAAGUAGUUUUAACUGAAAAGAGAGCCACAUCAGGCUGGUCUGAGUGCAGUAGUGCUUACAACUAAUUGAUCACAAUUCAUUACAGAUUACUUUGUUCCUCUCCACUCCCAUUGCUUCACUUGACUAGCCUUCAAAAAUAAAAAAUAAGGCUCACACUUGAAAUCCCAGCAUUUUGGGAGGCCGAGGUGAGCGGAUCACUUGACCCCAGGAGUUUGAGACCAGCCUGGACAACAUGGAGCAACAUGGAGCAGAAAUUUAGUCUCUACUAAAAAUACAAAAAUUGGCUGGGUGUGGUGGUGCACACCUAUAGUCCCAGCUACGGGGGAGGCUGAGGACGGAGGAUCCCUUGAACCUAGGAAGUUGAGACUGCAGUGAGCCCUGAUCGCACCACUGCACUCCAGCCUGGGCGACAGAGCCAGACCCUGUUUCAAAAAUAAUAGUAAUAAUAAUAAUAAUAAUAAAUCAAAUAGGCCGGGUGCAGUAGCUCAUGCCAGUAAUCCUAGCACUUUGGGAGGCCAAGGCGGGCAGAUCACAAGGUCAGGAGUUCGAGACCAGUCUGGCCAACAUGGUGAAACCCCGUCUCUACUAAAAAUAUAAAAAUUAGCCAGGCAUGGUGGCGUAUGCCUGUAAUCCCAGCUACUCGGGAGGCUGAGGAAGGAGAAUUGCUUGAACUCAGGAGACAGAGGUUGCAGUGAGCUGAGAUCGUGCCACUGCAUUCCAGCCUGGGCAACAGAGCAAGACUCCAUCUCUAAAUAAAUAAAUAAGAGAGCUAGACCACAAGUCAAGUUGUUUAGUCCCAGCAGCUGUGACACCUGACCUCGCUUUCCCUCUGUGAGCCUCAGUUUCCCCACCUGUAAAGUGGUGGAGUUUAAACUUGCAGAUCUCGAAGGUCCCAGCUCAAGCAAACUGGGCUUCUAAGACUAAAAAUCUCAUUUUAUGGUGAGUGUAUGCUAGGAACUGUUUCUUUCAUUCAUAUCUUAUAAAAUGAACUCCUAGCUUUCAGCACAAUCUCGGGCCAUUAAUAGGAACUCUCCCUCUCAAUUACGAAUGAACGAAUGAACCUGAUUUAACCCAGCCUUUCUCACUUUUACAUAACACCCUCUGGGUGAUGAGGGCAUUUCCAGUCCAACGUGCUUAUAUCCUUAGCUGCCCUUUCCAGCUUCUCAUCCCUCCCUAAUCCUUUGUGAGCUGUGGAUUUAGAAGACCAAGAAUUACUUGUCUCGGUCUAAUCUGCUUGCAAAAGAACUAAUUUAUUACCGUGUAAGAGAAUAGCGACAGAAUCUUAGCCCAGAUUCUCAACUGGGCUAAGGUGUGCUUUGUAGGAGGACCUGCCCCAGAGCACCUGCUAAAUACAGCUUUUCUGGAUGCUGCGCCCAAAUUCUCAGGCCUGCCCCGAAUUGGAAUACGGUUAGUGUUUUCCUCAAAAAGAAUGAGCAGCCAAGUUGGUCCAGAAAGACCAUGGUCCCUCCAGAAAUUCCCUUCCCCAUGGGCUUCACUAAUAUUCCUGCAGCCUGUGGUGGUUAAGCUGCCUGGGAAACAGGAAGUUUGGUCUUCACUACGUGGCCUUCACUUCGUGUUUCCCUGUGUGUGUGGUACAUUCUCAGCCCUAACAAGCGAGUUGAUGUCUGCUCUUCAUUUGACAUCCAAACAGCUGAGUUAAGGCCACGCUCUCCCCUCAAUGGGAUGAGGAAGAAAUCGCUGACACCAGCUUCAGGUGCAGUGGCUCACACCUGUAAUCCCAACACUGGAGAGGCUGUGGAAGGAUUGCUUGAGCCCAGGACUUCAAGACUAGCCUGGGCAACAUAGUGAGGCCCCAUUUCUACAAAAAAUAAAAGUAUUAGCUGGGCGUGAUAGUAUGUACCUGUAGUCUCAGCUACUCGGGAGGUUGAGGUGGGAGGAUUGCUUGAGCCCAGGAGUUCGAGACCAGCCUGGGCAACAUAGUGAGGCCCUAUCUCUACAAAAAAUAAAAACAUUAGCUGGGCAUGAUGGCGCACACUAAGUAAUCCCAGCUAUUUGGGAGGCUGAGGUGGGAGGAUCACUUGAACCCAGGAGUUGAAGGUUGCAAUGAGCUAUAAUCGUGCCACUGCACUUCAGCCUUGGGCGACCUAGCAAGACACUGUCUCAGAAAAAAAGAAAAGGAAAGAAAUAGCUGACACAUUGCACUCCUAAAGCCUGGCAGUUAUAAAAUGACAGAAGAAUAAUUUCUCUCACACCUUCCCCACUCCAUUUGAGGAGCUCUGCAAAGUUGAAUUAGGGAAAGAGAACAGGCCCCAGAAGGAAAACGUCUCAGCCUCUAUGGGGAGCGUUGCAGGAAGCGGCUGCCUCCACUGAUGGGACUAGGGUGACAGCACCCAGAGCCUGCCCAGGGUCGUGUCCCAGUUCCCUUCCCAGGGGGAAGAAAGGGUGUCUCCAAAGCGAACACUGUGGGCUUCCUUUUCUUUCUUCCUCCUCUCUCUAUGCUUGCCAUUCCUGACUAACUUCAUCCAUGAUGCCUUCUGGGAUUUAAUAACUAAGUAAAGAUAGUCUUGGUUGAGUUUCCUUCAAAUCUCAGAACUGACAAAAUAUUCUCAAUAUGUUGUCCCAGGACCAGCUGCUUGGGACGUGCGGCAGUUCCGAGGAUUACAACAUGGUUGUUAAAGGGAUCUCUCUUUUUUUCUCUAAUGAAACGCGCUCUGGAGCACUGGCUUUCUUCACAGAUCUCUUGGUUGUCUUGGAACUUGAAGGACCUGAGCAUUCCUAGAGAAUCAAUUAGACGUUAGCUCUGGUAGGGUGUUGCCGAGUCUUCCAGUAUUUUUUUAUCCCUAAUACUUAGAACAGUGGCUUGCAUAUAACAGGCAUUCAGCAGAUACUUGCUGAUACAGACAGCCUCCCCCAAGUCAUAUUAUAAAAGCCUCACUGGAAAAACUAAGACAAGCCCCUUUGGGCUGGUCAGUAACUGAAUCUGCUAUAAAGUAAAUUAUAGAAAUAAAAUGUUUAGGCCGGGCGCAGUGGCUCACGCCUGUAAUCCCAACACUUUGAGAGGCCGAGGUGGGCGGAUCACCUCAGGUCAAGAGUUCGAAACCAGCCUGGCCAAUAUGGCGAAACCCUGUCUCUAUGAAAAAUACAAAAAUUAGCUGGGUGUGGUAGUGUGCACCUGUAAUUCUAGCUACCUGAGAGGCAGAGGCAGGAGAGUCGCUUGAACUCAGGAGGUGGAGGUUGCAGUGAGCUGAGACCACACCAUUGCACUCCAGCCUGGGCAACAGAGCGAGACUCCGUCUCAAAAAAAAAAAAAUGUUUACAGAACACUGCUUCAGGGCACUACGGUGGGAACAGUUUCAUCCCACAGGUUCGCCUGCACACAUUAGAGACCAUGCAUAAUAGUUAAGGCGCAUGAGGAAAACGAAGUGAGGAUGUGGCUGGGCUGCCAUCAGGCUGGAAAACGAGGUACCUGCUUCUGUACAUAGGGGUGAUGGUGUACCCUGGCCAGGCCCGUCCUGGGCAGGAAUAUAAAGUGUUAAAUAUUCUGGAGAGUGGGAGGCAAGGAGUUCAUGGAAAUCAGAGCUUGCAGAGACUUAGUUCAGAGACUUAAGAAUUCAUCUACAAAGGAAUGAUCAUGAGUCCACAGUAGUAUAAAUAAAUGACUGAAUAAGUAAAUAAAUGGGGAGACGGAACAGAUUUUCCUUAUGAAAGAAUUACAAAUAAGUGUAAAAGGAAUAAGGAAAAUUGAAACUCACGAAUAAGGGCCUGGCAAGGUAGCAUAAGCCUAUAAUCCCUGCACUUUGAGAGGCUGAGGCGGGAAGAAUCACUUGAGGCCAGUUAAAGACCAGCCUGGGCAAAAUAGUGACACCCAACUCCACAAAAAAUUUAAAAAUUAAGCAGGACAUGGUGGUUCACACCUGUAAUCCCAGCUACUCGGGGGGCUGAGGUGGGAGGACUGCUUGAGCCCAGGUGUUAGAGGCUGCAGUCAGCUAUAAUUGUGCAACUGCACUCCAGCCUGGGUGACAGAGUAAGAUCCCCAUCUCUUAAAAAAAAAAAAAGAAAAGAAAGCAAAAAAAAAUUAAAAAAAAGAAAACCACCAUUAGAACACCACAAUACAAAUAAUAUCUGCUGCAAGGAAAAUACACUAAUGGAUGCUAAAAUUAGAAAGUGAAACAUUAAGGAGAAACAGGAUAUUUACAUACCCUCAAAGUAUCUCCUUCACUGGUAGUUUUUGUAUGUUGAGAUGGGGUCUCACUAUGUUGCUCAGGCUGGUAUCGGACUCCUGGGCUUAAGCGAUCCUCCCACCUUGGCCUCCCAAAGCACUGAGAUUACAGGCAUGAGCCAUGCGACCUGGCCUGGUGAUGGUUUUAACACAUGGCCACAGAUUCUUUGAUACUGCUCCCUUCCGGAGGUGGAGCUCAUUGCCCUCCCCUUGAAAGGGAGCUGGACUAAGUGACUCCUUCCUAAAAAAUUGAAAGUUGAAGGGGAAAAAUACCAGCCUGGUAAGAGUGGUUAGACACCACCUUCACCAAAGAUCAAAGUUAACAUCCCCAGAAGGAAGUCCUGUGUGGCCGUGUCCCCUCAGAGAGGAUGUCAUGAGAAGGGCGCUUCACCUCGGUGGGAUUCUUCCCAAAAUCCCUAACCAGACUCAGUCCCAUCAUGAGAAAACAUGAGACAAACCCAAACUAAAGAACAUUCUAU
rnacentral:lncRNA from 10 species